GAUGAACGCUGGCGGCGUGCCUAAUACAUGCAAGUCGAGCGAACAGACGAGGAGCUUGCUCCUCUGACGUUAGCGGCGGACGGGUGAGUAACACGUGGAUAACCUACCUAUAAGACUGGGAUAACUUCGGGAAACCGGAGCUAAUACCGGAUAAUAUAUUGAACCGCAUGGUUCAAUAGUGAAAGACGGUUUUGCUGUCACUUAUAGAUGGAUCCGCGCCGCAUUAGCUAGUUGGUGAGGUAACGGCUUACCAAGGCAACGAUGCGUAGCCGACCUGAGAGGGUGAUCGGCCACACUGGAACUGAGACACGGUCCAGACUCCUACGGGAGGCGGCAGUAGGGAAUCUUCCGCAAUGGGCGAAAGCUUGACGGAGCAACGCCGCGUGAGUGAUGAAGGUCUUCGGAUCGUAAAACUCUGUUAUUAGGGAAGAACAAAUGUGUAAGUAACUAUGCACGUCUUGACGGUACCUAAUCAGAAAGCCACGGCUAACUACGUG
rnacentral:rRNA from 1 species